UAAAAAUUCAUUUGUAUCUGUUUCUUAAAAAAAAAGGAAAAAAAAGCUCUCUCUUUCUUUUUUUUUCCUCUUGACCCUCAAUUUUCGACGAGCCCACCAACGACAGCCACCGGUCGACGACGACGAGCUCCGCCGUUCCCGGUGGCCAAAAUUCCUAAAACAACCCCCUUCUCGAGUGUGUCGGCUUCUAGAUUCUGAAUCUGGGGUCGAUGUUUCUCAAAACUCAACAAAAAAUAGUAAAAUUCGAGGGAAUCCCUUCGGCUUCUCCGUCGUCUCACCAAAGAAAAUUGUCCAUCAUUAGGGGCAGUGUCCUUCUCCACUCAAACAAUGGGAUCCAAAACGAUUCAGUUUGGCUCUUGGUUAAAGGAGGGGAGAGAAGAGGUGCUCUUUGCCGUUUUGGUGCAAGGCGGCAGACGCGAGUUAGGCCUCGGGACAAGGUGCCUUGGGCAGCGUGAAAGGAGCAGUGGCUACGAUUUUCAGAUUUACUGAAAACUUAGUUUAGGUUGUGGGCCACUGGGCCAUUAGGGUUAUUUAUUUAUUUUGGGCUGCUUGUGAUUGGACUGGGGAUUUAUUUAUUUAUUUAUUUUGUUUAGUGCCCAGGCAAAUUGGGCCUACUACAAUAUAUAUACAACAUGUCUCCACUACA